AUUGAACGCUGGCGGCAGGCCUAACACAUGCAAGUCGAGCGAGCGGCGGACGGGUGAGUAAUGUCUGGGGAUCUGCCUGCUGGAGGGGGAUAACUACUGGAAACGGUAGCUAAUACCGCAUACCAUCGGAUUACCCCAUAUGGGAUUAGCUAGUAGGUGGGGUAAUGGCUCACCUAGGCAACGAUCCGUAGCUGGUUUGAGAGGACGACCAGCCACACUGGAACUGGGACACGGCCCAGACUCCUACGGGAGGCAGCAGUGGGGAAUUUUGGACAAUGGGGGAAACCCUGAUCCAGCCAUCCCGCGUGUGUGAUGAAGGCCUUCGGGUUGUAAAGUACUUUUGGCAGAGAAGCGGUAUCUGCAGAAUAAGCACCGGCUAACUACGUGCCAGCCGCCGCGGUAAUUC
rnacentral:rRNA from 1 species